AUUGAACGCUGGCGGCAGGCCUAACACAUGCAAGUCGAGCGGUAGCACAGAAGAGCUUGCUCUUUGGGUGACGAGCGGCGGACGGGUGAGUAAUGUCUGGGAAACUGCCUGAUGGAGGGGGAUAACUACUGGAAACGGUAGCUAAUACCGCAUAACCUCGCAAGAGCAAAGCGGGGGACCUUCGGGCCUCUCGCCAUCAGAUGUGCCAAGAUGGGAUUAGCUGGUAGGUGAGGUAAUGGCUCACCGAGGCGACGAUCCCUAGCUGGGCUGAGAGGGUGACCAGCCACACUGGAACUGAGACACGGUCCAGACUCCUACGGGAGGCAGCAGUGGGGAAUAUUGCACAAUGGGCGCAAGCCUGAUGCAGCCAUGCCGCGUAUGUGAAGAAGGCCUUCGGGUUGUAAAGCACUUUCAGCGGGGAGGAAGGCGGUGAGGUUAAUAACCUUAUCGAUUGACGUUACCCGCAGAAGAAGCACCGGCUAACUCCGUGCCAGCCGCCGCGGUAAAAC
rnacentral:rRNA from 1 species